CCUCUUGUUCUUUGUGUUGCUGAUUCAGUUCACGGAGAUCACUAAGAGAAGCGACCCAAACUUUUCAACAUCAAUUCAAUGUGAUCUCUCCCGUGAAACGGGGAGAAAAGCAGGCACUACCAAGGUCAGUGGAGCGGCGCGGGGCAUAAACAUAAUAAUCCCUUUGAGCGCCGCUGGGGGACAGGACGCCCAUAUAUGGGGGGCGAGGAGAAAGGGGGGCGUGGCGGACCCUGCAGAGGCGCGAUGGAGAACUUGACAUGGCGGAACGGCUGAAUUACAUCGGAAAGCCUGAGAACAGUCGAGCAUCCAGACUGUCGGAGUGGAGCCACUGUCUGUCUGGAGGCCCAUUGCCUUUUCUCCCCCCGCUCCACCUCCCUGUCCCACACCUGUCGGAACCUCCCCGCGCCGUCCAACUUUCUCGAUGGGGUUCCUCCCGCGACGACCCCUUCGCCUCAGAGAGCAGUUCCAAGUGUCAGGCGGGCGAGCCAACGACUCCGCAUUUCCAAAAAAAUUAUAGUAAUGAAUAAUGCGCAUCGAUACGAACGUCUCACCGUGCAGCGGUGCAGGCGUCACUGGAAGAGCAAAGCAGUCCCGGGUGAAAACUGUGGAAAAGUGAAAAAUCUUUGACACUCGGGUCUGAACCUAACUUCGUAGACUUCCUUUAAUG